CUACGAGUCGGGUUGUUUG
rnacentral:snRNA from 1 species